GACAGAGGGUGCAAACGUUGUUCGGAAUUACUGGGCGUAAAGCGCGUGUAGGCGGCCCUGCAAGUCGGAUGUGAAAUCCCACGGCUCAACCAUGGAAGUGCAUUCGAAACUGCAGAGCUAGAGUCCUGGAGAGGAAGGUGGAAUGCUUGGUGUAGAGGUGAAAUUCGUAGAUAUCAAGCGGAACACCGGUGGCGAAGGCGGGUCUCUGGGCCGUAACUGACGCUGAGGAGCGAAAGCAUGGGGAGCGAACAGG
rnacentral:rRNA from 1 species